AAAGUUUUAGUAUAAUCUAGUAUGUUUUAUUGUCAAUAAAAUGGUUAAAACUUUA
rnacentral:tRNA from 1 species